rnacentral:rRNA from 1 species
UACGGAGACUGCAAGCGUUACUCGGAAUCACUGGGCGUAAAGGGUGCGUAGGUGGCAGUGCGUGUCAGGUGUGAAAUACCGGGGCUUAACUCCGGGACUGCGCCUGAAACUGCACGGCUAGAGUGUCGGAGGGGCAGGCGGAAUUCCAGGAGUAGCGGUGAAAUGCGUAGAUAUCUGGAGGAACACCAAAGGCGAAGGCAGCCUGCUGGACGACAACUGACGCUGAGGCACGAAAGUGUGGGUAGCAAAAGGG